rnacentral:rRNA from 1 species
AGGGUUUGAUUAUGGCUCAGGAUGAACGCUGGCGGCGUGCUUAACACAUGCAAGUCGAACGGAGAGCAUAUGACAGAGGAUUCGUCCAAUGGAAUAUGUUUCUUAGUGGCGGACGGGUGAGUAACGCGUGAGGAACCUGCCUUGGAGUGGGGAAUAACAGGUGGAAACAUCUGCUAAUACCGCAUGAUGCAGUUGGGUCGCAUGGCUCUGACUGCCAAAGAUUUAUCGCUCUGAGAUGGCCUCGCGUCUGAUUAGCUAGUUGGCGGGGUAACGGCCCACCAAGGCGACGAUCAGUAGCCGGACUGAGAGGUUGGCCGGCCACAUUGGGACUGAGACACGGCCCAG